rnacentral:rRNA from 1 species
AGAGUUUGAUCCUGGCUCAGUAUCGAACGCUGGCGGCGUGGCUAAAACAUGCAAGUCGAACGCGAACGUUCCCUUCGGGGAACAAGUAGAGUGGCGAAAGGGCGAGGAAUACAUGGGUAACGUGCCUCGAGCACGAGGACAGCCGGGGGAAACUCCGGUUAAUACUCGAUAAGACCACAGCACCGCAGGGUGCAGGGGUCAAAGGGUGGGGACCUUCGGGCCUGCCGGCUCGAGAGCGGCCCAUGUCCUAUCAGCUUGUUGGUGGGGUAACGGCCUACCAAGGCUACGACGGGUACCGGGACUGAGAGGUUGACCCGGCGCAUCGGGACUGAGACACUGCCCGGACUCCUACGGGAGGCUGCAGUAACGAAUAUUGGGCAAUGGGCGAAAGCCUGACCCAGCGACGCCGCGUGUGGGAAGAAUGCCUUCGGGUUGUAAACCACUGUCAGGGAUUACCAACCAACCGGUGUGAAUAGCGCCGGGAGUUGAGGAGUCCCAGAGGAAGUCACGGCUAACUUCGUGCCAGCAGCCGCGGUAAUACGAAGGUGGCUAGCGUUGUUCGGAAUCACUGGGCUUAAAGAGCACGUAGGCGGAUGAUCAAGCGUCUUGUGAAAGCCCUCGGCUCAACCGGGGAAUUGCUUGGCGAACUGAUCAUCUUGAGGCAGGUAGGGGCGAGUGGAACUCUUGGUGGAGCGGUGGAAUGCUUAGAUAUCAAGAGGAACGCCAGAGGCGAAGGCGACUCGCUGGGCCUGACCUGACGCUGAGGUGCGAAAGCCAGGGGAGCGAACGGGAUUAGAUACCCCGGUAGUCCUGGCCCUAAACGAUGUCCACUAGGUCGGUGAGGUUCUAAUGCUUUGCUGGCCGAAACAAAAGCGUUAAGUGGACCGCCUGGGGAGUACGGUCGCAAGGCUAAAACUCAAAGGAAUUGACGGGGGCUCACACAAGCGGUGGAGCAUGUUGCUUAAUUCGAUGCAACGCGAAGAACCUUGUCCUGGGCUUGACAUACACGGAUGCCCUCCUGGAAACAGGUCGGGUUGCCCUUCGGGGUGAAACGUACACAGGUGCUGCAUGGCUGUCGUCAGCUCGUGUCGUGAGAUGUUGGGUUAAGUCCCGUAACGAGCGAAACCCUUGUCGCUAGUUGCCAGCGCGUAAUGGCGGGGACUCUAGCGAGACUGCCGGUGUUAAACCGGAGGAAGGUGGGGAUGACGUCAAGUCCUCAUGGCCUUUAUGCCCAGGGCUGCAAACGUGCUACAAUGGUAGGGACAGAGCGACGCAAGACCGUGAGGUGGAGCAAAUCGCAAAAACCCUGCCCCAGUUCGGAUCGGAGUCUGCAACUCGACUCCGUGAAGUCGGAAUCGCUAGUAAUCGCGCAUCAGCGUGGCGCGGUGAAUGUGUUCCUGAGCCUUGUACACACCGCCCGUCAAGUCAUGGAAGCUGGGAGCACCCGAAGUCGGGGCGAAUCAGCCCUGCCGAAGGUGAGCUCGGUGACUGGGACUAAGUCGUAACAAGG